GCUGUGUGUGUUUUAGUGUGAACAUUUUUAAAUAGAUUUUGUGUGGUGUAAUUUUUAUGGUGUAAAUAGUUUGCAUUUUUAGAUUUCAUUUUAAGCUCCUUAGCUAGGCUCUUGCACCUUCUCCAUGGAUAAGGGAAAAACAAACAGUGGGAAAACGUGAGGAGGGGAAAAAUGUCGGCGUGAUAAAAACAAUAUACAGUACAGUGAGAUGGACCUUCACAGUGCAGACUGUGGAGAGGAGGAGUGGAGGAAGGAGGCUUAUAUCCAUAUUUUCAUACAAAAUACAGGGACAGAAAUGGGAGACAUGUCAAAGCAAAGAAGCCAAUUUGAAAAGAAAACAAGAUCAUACAAGUCCUCCCCGAGGUCCGGGCUGGGUCAGGAGGGCUGCUGAGGUCCUGAGGUGGGACUGUCGCGUGUCCAGCUCAAGAGACAAAGCACCAUGGCCUGUGUUCUCUCCAUGCUUCUCCGUGACGACCCGUGUGCUGUCCACAAACCUGCAGGAAACGCCUCUGAUGUCCCCUGUAUCCCCGAGUAACAACCCCUCAAAGUGACAAAGAAUAUACAGUACAGUGAGAUGGAACUUUAUACUGCAGGCUGUGGAGAGGAGGAGUGGAG